UACAGAGGGUGCGAGCGUUAAUCGGAAUUACUGGGCGUAAAGGGCGCGUAGGCGGUUAAGUAAGUUAUGUGUGAAAGCUCUGGGCUUAACCUGGGAACUGCACAUAAUACUGUUUAGCUAGAGUAGAGUAGAGGAAAGUGGAAUUUCCGGUGUAGCGGUGAAAUGCGUAGAUAUCGGAAGGAACACCAGUGGCGAAGGCGGCUUUCUGGACUCAUACUGACGCUGAGGCGCGAAAGCGUGGGGAGCAAACAGG
rnacentral:rRNA from 1 species